UUGCCCUUCAUUGUGGAGUGGAUGUUGGUGAAGCUCUUGAUUGAAGACUUGGAUUUUCUGAAUGAGAUUGGAGUUGAUCCAGAAAAGGUUAACUUGUCACAGCUUUGGUGAACUCACGUGAAUUGUAGCAAAAUCACUGAUUGAGCUGUUUGCUGAAAUGAUAUUUGUGCAUGGUUACAUACAUGGUGAUCCAC